rnacentral:piRNA from 1 species
UGGAGGUGUACAAGCAGAGGAAUAUUGUU